GUCGGUGCGCCAACGUUGGAGAGUUGGGGCGGUCUGUAAAACCGUUGCUAUUAGCUGAGUGGGUUCGAAUCCCAUCACCUUCAC
rnacentral:tRNA from 1 species